GAUGAACGCUAGCGGCAGGCUUAAUACAUGCAAGUCGAGGGGCAGCAGGGGUAGCAAUACUCGCUGGCGACCGGCAAACGGGUGCGGAACACGUACAGAACCUUCCUUUAAGUGGGGAAUAGCCCAGAGAAAUUUGGAUUAAUACCCCGUAACAUUAUGAAGUGGCAUCACUUUAUAAUUAUAGAUUCAUCGCUUAAAGAUGGCUGUGCGGCUGAUUAGGUAGUUGGCGGGGUAACGGCCCACCAAGCCUGCGAUCAGUAACUGGUGUGAGAGCACGACCAGUCACACGGGCACUGAGACACGGGCCCGACUCCUACGGGAGGCAGCAGUAAGGAAUAUUGGUCAAUGGACGCAAGUCUGAACCAGCCAUGCCGCGUGGAGGAUGAAGG
rnacentral:rRNA from 1 species